CCACUUCGGUGGCGCAGAGACAGGUGCUGCAUGGCUGUCGUCAGCUCGUGUCGUGAGAUGUUGGGUUAAGUCCCGCAACGAGCGCAACCCUCGCCCUUAGUUGCCAGCAUUUAGUUGGGCACUCUAAGGGGACUGCCGGUGAUAAGCCGAGAGGAAGGUGGGGAUGACGUCAAGUCCUCAUGGCCCUUACGGGCUGGGCUACACACGUGCUACAAUGGUGGUGACAGUGGGCAGCGAGCACGCGAGUGUGAGCUAAUCUCCAAAAGCCAUCUCAGUUCGGAUUGCACUCUGCAACUCGAGUGCAUGAAGUUGGAAUCGCUAGUAAUCGCGGAUCAGCAUGCCGCGGU
rnacentral:rRNA from 1 species